rnacentral:tRNA from 1 species
AUGUGGCAGAAUUAAUGCACUAAAUUUAAGAUUUAGCUAUGAAUUCCUUUAGGA